rnacentral:Y_RNA from 1 species
AGUCUGAUGGUAGUGGGUCAUCAGAGCUUAUUAACAUUAGUGUCACUAAAGUUAUUCAAUCCCCCACUGCUAAAUCUGGCUUUAA